UACGUAGGGGGCAAGCGUUGUCCGGAAUCAUUGGGCGUAAAGCGCGUGUAGGCGGCUGAGUAAGUCUGCUCUGAAAGCCCGGGGCUCAACCCCGGGAGGCGGGUGGAUACUGCUCAGCUCGAGUCCGGAAGAGGAGUGUGGAAUUCCUGGUGUAGCGGUGAAAUGCGCAGAUAUCAGGAGGAACACCAAUGGCGAAGGCAGCACUCUGGGACGGUACUGACGCUGGGACGCGAAAGCGUGGGGAGCAAACAGG
rnacentral:rRNA from 1 species